UACGUAGGGACCAAGCGUUGUUCGGAUUUACUGGGCGUAAAGGGCGCGUAGGCGGCUUAACAAGUCACUUGUGAAAUCUCCGGGCUUAACUCGGAACGGCCAAGUGAAACUGUCAAGCUAGAGUGCAGAAGGGGCAAUCGGAAUUCUUGGUGUAGCGGUGAAAUGCGUAGAUAUCAAGAGGAACACCAGUGGCGAAGGCGGCUUUUCUGGACGGUAACUGACGCUGAGACGCGAAAGCGUGGGUAGCAAACAGG
rnacentral:rRNA from 1 species